rfam:Puccinia sorghi strain RO10H11247 Scaffold_66, whole genome shotgun sequence.
GCCUCAGUAGCCCAGUGGUAGAGCGUUUGCCUAGUACCUCCGGUGCAGCAAAAGGUCCAGUGUUCGACUCACUGUUGAGGCA